AUCCAGCUGACGAGUCCCGAAUAGGACGAAAUGCGCGUCAAGCUGGAU
rfam:Schistosoma mansoni strain Puerto Rico chromosome 2, complete genome